AUUCUCUUUGUAACGAACAAGGGAAAAACUGUUCCAAGAAUGAAGGUUGCUGAUCAGAUCUGGGUUUUGGGGAUUGUUGUAUGUGUUACGGGCAUGGUGCACUCACAAGAAUGGGAAGACUGGGAAGAAAAAAAGGAAGUUAUAGCGUUUCAAGCAAGAGCCUCUGUGAGACUUGUGAACAUUCCGGCACACGAUGUUGUCAAGUUUGACCAUGUUCUGCUGAACGAAGGGGACGGGUAUAAUGGGGAAACUGGCAUCUUCACCGCGCCGGACGAUGGUGUUUAUUUCUUCGAUUGGACCAUAACCGUUGACAACGGGGACGCAUUUCAUACGGGCAUUGUCAAAAAUGGCUCCGUCUUCGGAUUUAGCUAUUGUAAAUCUAAACGCGAAAGCUCCGAGCGCCAUGUACUGCAACGGGUAGGAUAAAGUUGAAGAAAGGCGACAAGGUGUGGAUAAGGACAAAUGCGCUUGGCACCGACGCUUUCCCGAACUUCACCACUUUCGGAGGUCAUAGACUGUGAAGUCGAAUCGGACGAAAAUGGAUUACUCUAGAAUGCAUGUACAUAUUUAUGUUUUUGAUUCAGUAUACAUGUAUAUGCAUGUAGUAUUAAUAAAACUUUAGAACAGCAUAUGCACUAUUGUCAAUUAUCAACC
rnacentral:misc_RNA from 1 species